CGUCACGAUGUAUUAUAUGUAAUGUCUUGUCAUUCCGAAAAAGAUUAUGGCGCGUUUUAUUCGCAGGUUUCAUUAAUAUUUAUAUGAUUAAUUCGUGUCCAAGGUGCACUUUACCGAAAAAAAACAUGGAAAUUGGUUUUAUUAAAACUGACUGUGCAAAUUUGCCAAAAAUGGAGUCUUUUAUGAUCGCAAAUUUCUUUGCCUCAAACCCGGACUUUUGUUCUGCAGAAUUUAGGAACGUGGAAACUUUAUUAUCAUCAAGACAGUUGUAUGGUGAUGAUGCUAAUUCAUAUGCUCACUCAAAUCCUAAAACAUCAAUCUGAUUACAAAGUGCCCGACAUUCUUCAGUUCUCGAUGCAUUAUUAGAGCAUCAAGCGUAAGAAAGGAAGUGACUGUGAAACGUUUUUAGCCAAAAUUAAUGGUGUUUUUACACAAGAAAAUAUAAAUUUUGUGGAAAGUCUGACUCAAGCACAACACAAAAUUCAAGCAUGGCAUGAGUUAAGGAAUAAAAGCAUCAAAAGCAAUUGAUGUUUCAACAUGCAAAACAACUGUUGGAUCCUUGGUUGCCUUAAUAAUGGGAGCUAAAGUACCAGAUACUCCAACCAUGAAAAGAGGAAAAUCAUUGGAAGAAGUAGUAAGAAAGGAGUUGGAAAAAAAUAUGACAAGA
rnacentral:lncRNA from 1 species